rnacentral:rRNA from 1 species
AUGGGCCUCCGCUUCGCCCACCUCGCCGGCGGGGUCGCCCGAGCCGCCUUCUCUCGCCGUGGGCCACACCUCUCCCCAGCGUGCGCCCGCCGCGUGCUCGCCCCUCUCGCCUCGCCGGGUGAGCCAAGGGGCGGCAACUGGCUCGUCCCUGCCCGCGGCCACGGUGGCCACUCCCACCACCACGGCGAGGAAAGCGGCGAGGCGUCUGAGAAGAUCUUCCGCUUGGGCUUCGCUGCUGACGUCGUCCUCACCGUAGGGAAAGCCAUCACCGGUUACCUCUCCGGCAGCACGGCCAUCACCGCCGACGCCGCUCACUCCCUCUCUGACAUCGUGCUGAGCGGGGUGGCUCUGCUGUCGUACAAGGCGGCCAAGGUACCUAGAGACAAGGAUCAUCCGUAUGGUCAUGGAAAGUUCGAGAGUUUGGGAGCUCUUGGAAUUUCAAGUAUGCUGUUGAUUACUGCAGGUGGGAUCGCCUGGCAUUCUUUUGAAGUUCUUCAGGGAGUUAUGUUUUCUGCUCCUGAUAUAAUUGGCAGCACAUUGCACAUGAAUCACAGCCAUGGUAGUGGUGGGCAUAAUCAUGCAAUAGAUUUGGAACAUGCAGUCCUUGCAUUGAGUAUGACAACCUUAGCAAUAUCUAUCAAAGAAGGGCUCUAUUGGAUUACGAAAAGAGCUGGGGAGAAGGAAGGGAGUGGGCUGAUGAAAGCUAACGCAUGGCACCAUCGUGUGGAUGCUAUUUCAUCUGUUGUUGCCCUAGUAGGGGUAGGUGGCUCCAUUGUUGGAUUACCUUAUCUUGAUCCACUAGCUGGCCUUGUUGUCUCAGGCAUGAUUCUUAAAGCUGGUGUUCAGACAGGAUACGAGAGUACACUAGAGCUUGUUGAUGCAGCUGUUGAUCCAUCGCUUCUAGAACCAAUCAGGGAAACAAUUGUGAAGGUUGAUGGUGUAAAGGGGUGCCAUCGGUUGAGGGGAAGGAAAGCUGGGACCUCCUUGUAUCUUGAUGUGCAUAUCGAGGUAUAUCCUUUCUUGAGUGUCAGUGCAGCACAUGAUAUCGGGGAAACUGUCCGUCAUCAUAUACAAAAGACGCAUAAUCAAGUUGCCGAAGUUUUCAUACACAUAGACCCCUCAUAUUCAAUGGGUGCUAACGUGGACAAGAAAAGGAUUUUGGGGAACUUGGAGAGAAGAAAUUCAGACGUUAUUCCACGGCAACGAAGUGCAGAAGCUAUCGUGUCCGAUAUAAUUUCCUCUCAUUUUCCGAAGAAAAUGUGUCUUGAACAUCUGAUGCUGCAUUACUUACGAGGACGGGUGUUGCUUCAGGUCCAAGUUUCAAUGUCUCCAGAAAUUUUGAUUCGGGAUGCGAUGGACAUAGCAAAAAAAGCCGAGGAGGAGAUCAUGAAGGUUGACGCCAGCAUAUGUCAAGUCAGCGUACAGCUGAGAUUGGGGCAACGAAUUGAGCAACUUCAGCUGGCCGCAAGCAAAAGCGGAGCAAACGAUCUACAUGCAGAAAAGCAGUAG